AACUUUUAUUUCCAGUCUGCCGUCAAGUUGGUCGCCCCCUUCCCGCCGCUAGAGGUCGUGGCGUCUUCCGCUCCUGUGUAUUGUCAAGGCGAAGGAAGGAGAAAAAAACGGCGCCGUGUCGAUAUUCCCACACCUAAAGAUGGUCGCCCCUCGAGGCCCUCCUGCUGGUGCCUCUGCCGCCCUCACCCGCCCGGAAAAAGCCUCGGACAAGGGCCUGGCAAGAGACGGGGAGCCUGGGGUGGGCUACUCCCUCACACGCGGCCCUCAAGGAGACAUCGCUGAGGAAAACGCAUGAUUAUUUCACCGCCCCAACCUUGCCUCUCCACACACCACAAGGAAGUCUUCUUGCCCUCCAGAUUAACAAUACAGGGGCAGCGAAGGGCAGACGUUUCUUUCUACAUAACUUGUUUUGCCCUUAAAAAACCACGAACCGUACGAGCAAGAGGCUCCAUCAGCGCUCUUCUUCACAUACUCAAAGCAUCGUUACUUCAUUUAUAUAACCAUCAAGUCAAGCUAACAGGUGAAGAACAUUAGUCAAUAUGAAUGAAGGCAGUCUCUAAAAGGUGUUUCUCUCAAGCUACGAAAAGUAAAAUAAAAAGAAAUAAAGAGAUGAGUAAAUGUGAAUCGAUGCAAUCUCGGGAGGUGUCUAUCCGUUUGUCUGUAAGUGACUCUCAACAAAGCAAAAGAGAUCAAAACAUCAUACCAAAAGUGACUGAUAUACAAUAGGAAGUAAGACAAAAGAAAAUAAAGGUAUAAGCAAAUAUGAAUCGAUGCAAUCUCUAAAGGUAAGUGUCUGUCUGUUUCAAGCGACUCCGGGCGAGGCAGUCAAUCUUUUCACGCGUCCCCCCUUAGAGGCGUCGUGAUGUGAUCCAGGAGCUCGUUUUCUGCGCCACGUCCCCGCCUCGUGUGCAAUUUAGAUUUUCCUAAAAGAAUAUUCGGCAGGUUAUUAUAUGGCCAAACGAGCCCAACUUCACCUCCUCCUGCACCUCCAUCCCCUGCACCUCCAGCACUGCCGCCUCAUCUUUCAUCCCGAAUUCGACACGACAACACAUCAGGAGUUACCCAAAGAAAACGGGUCGAGGAGUGUUACUGUUUGUCAAUGUGCGGUGGUCGAGUGGUCAGCGUGCGGGCGUAGGUUCGAGUUCCACCGAUGCAAUGUGACAAUUUUCAACCAUUGCGAGUGGCGGAUUACCCUCAAGCUGCCAACAACCACAACCAAGCGACUUCCGUCAAGAGGAGCGCCGGGGGACAGGAUGAGCCAAACAGGAGCCAUGUAUCACGGUAGACACUAUGGACCGUAUUACUAAACAUUUCGUCGCCCAAGUUCACAUAUUUGACAAGGCUUUCGUAGGAGUUGUGGGCAUAUCCAGGAGUAGUUUUAUGACCCUGGUGGUAGUUUGACCCUUCUUCUGUACCAUGAACCUAAAGAAACAUGCAUUACAGCCCGACUGAUCCCCUCUUUGACCUUUAGAAAUAGCUGAUGUGAGAAGCGAUUGUCUUAUAAUACCGACCUAUAAAUCUAAUUCACCUGAGACGACAACGAGCUGGGGCAAUCCAGUAGACCCAUAAAGAAAUCCUAACGGCGCUAUGGGCAGCACCUGAACGAAUAAGAAGGAAGAAUAUAACAACAUAGAGGAGACGUUUGUAGGGAGAGAAAAAACAAAUAUGGGAUAGGAAAACAUGGACUAUAGAUAAAAUAUGAAAGGCUAAUCAAAGGUAAUGAGAUAAAAUUCAGACUUCGAGGACGAGAACCACCAUCACCACCACCGCUACCAAAAGCAUAAACAACGAUGAUGAC